rnacentral:lncRNA from 1 species
AAGACACUGAGGAACAACAAGCCCAACAUGGUCGACCUCCUGGAUCAGUACAAGUUCUGCUACGAGGUGGCCCUGGAAUACUUGAAUUCUGGCUGAUGGUGUAAACAGCUCUGCAAACAAUCCCUUUCAUACCACAAAGCCAAGACGUUCCAUGGUAUUUGUGCAAAAGAGAUGAAGACUUCUCAAUAUGCUUAUUUUGCUUUGCAUAAUUGGCUCUUUUUAAGAGCCCAAGAAAGUGUUUCUAAAAUUGCUUGCACUGCCCAAUCCCAGUAAUGCUGCUGCCUGACAGAAACACACACACAGCCACAGUUGCCAAAUCCCGUACUCCUUGCCACCGGCUUCCUAGAGCAGCGUAGACAGCUGGUAAACUGAAGAGCACAACUAUAUUCUUAUGAAGGAAUUUGUACCUUUGGGGUAUUAUUUUGUGGCCCGUGACCCUCGUUAUUGUUACAGCUGAGUGUAUGUUUUUGUUCUGUGGAGAAUGCUAUCUGGCAUUAUGGUAAUAUAUUAUUUUAGGUAAUAUUUGUACUUUAACAUGUUGCAUAAUAUAUGCUUAUGUAGCUUUCCAGGACUAACAGAUAAAUGUGUAAUGAACAAAGAUAUGUUGUAUGAGUCGUCGUUUCUGUCAGAUUUGUAUUGUUUCCAAGGGAAAAGCUUGGGGGAGGACUCAGUUCACAAAAUGCAAAACUCAACGAUCAGAUUCACGGACCCAGAGCUUUUCCAUGUGUUUAUAUUGUAAAUAUUUUUGAUUUCAUCAAAUUAUUUAUUCAUUAAAAGAAAUUU